AUGACAGCCCCCUACCAGGUAUCCCCAGCCAACCCCAAUGUCUUCCCACUGAGUACCCGGAGUGUCUCACAGAGCACCCGGAGCACCCGCAGCGCCAAGUCAGAGGGGAACGUGGUCGUCGGCUGCCUGGUCCGGGGCUUCUUCCCCUCGGAGCCACUGAGUGUGAACUGGAGCCACAGCGGGGAGGGCACCACCGUCAGGAACUUCCCACCAGUCCAGACGGGGGGUCUGUACACCAUGAGCAGCCUGCUGACCCUUCCGGCCACCCAGUGCCCAGAAGACACAUCUCUGCAGUGCCACGUUCAGCACUACUCGCACGCUGCCCAGCAUGUGCACGUGUCCUGCAAGUCCCAACCCCCAGUUCCUCCGUGUCCGCCAUGUCCCUCAUGUGACCGGCCCCAACUGUCGCUGCGCAAGCCGGCCCUCGAGGACUUGCUCCUGGGUGCAGAAGCAAACCUCACUUGCACACUAAGUGGCCUGAAAGACCCCAAGGACGCUGCCUUCACUUGGCAGCCCUCAGGAGGGAAGGAUGCCAUCCAGGGGGAACCCGUGCGUGAUGCCUACGGCUGCUACAGCGUGUCCAGCGUCCUGCCCGGCUGUGCCGAGCCAUGGAACAGUGGGGAAACCUUCACAUGCACCGCCACUCACCCCGAGUCCAAGACCCCACAGAUCGCCACCAUCGCCAAGACCCAAGACAAAUCCCAGCCCCAGGUCCACAUUCUGCCACCGCCAUCAGAGGAAAUGGCCCUGAACGAGAUGAUAUCGCUGACCUGCCUGGUGCGUGGCUUCAGCCCCAAGGAAGUGCUUAUACGCUGGCAGUGCAAUUCCGAGGAGCUGCCCCCUGAGAGCUAUGUGACCUGGAGCCCCGUGCCCGAGUCCAGCACAGGCACCCCGACCUUUGCAGUGACCAGCGUGCUGCGCGUGCCAGCCAAGUCCUGGAAGAAUGGGGACAACUUCAGCUGCAUGGUGGGCCACGAGGCCCUGCCCCUGGCCUUCACGCAGAAGUCCAUAGACCGCCUGACGGGUAAACCCUCCCACGUCAACGUGUCCGUGGUCCUGAUGGAGGGAGAUGGUGUCUGCUACUGAACCUCCCCGCCCACCCCCAGCCCUGAAUAAACUCCAUACUGGCC